rnacentral:misc_RNA from 1 species
GGGUGGAGGCGGCGGGAGGGGAGGGAGCGGGCGGAGAGGAGGAGGAGGAUCUGGAGGGCGAGGAUGGAGAGGAUGAGGAGGCGGCGGCAGCGAGGGGAGAGGAGAGGAGAGGCAGUGGUUACAGCGGCGGGGGAGGCGGCGCCCGGAGAGGCGGUCGGGGAGGAGAAGGAGCGGAGCUUUUUGAGGAGCUGGGCCUCGGCGGAGGGGGAGCUGGAGAUGGCGAGCAUUUGCCGGCGGCGGUGAUUGGAUUCGGAGAGAGAAUGGAGG